ACGUAUAUGGCAAUGGACAUUCUUAGUAUACCCAUAACCACUGUAGCUUCUGAAUCUUCUUUUAGUAUUGGAUCUCAUUUGAUCAACAAAUACCGGAGUCGACUUCUUCCCAGUAACGUCCAAGCGUUACUAUGUACACGAUCUUGGAUACAUGGUUACAAGGUUGAUGAUGAAGAUAGCAAUGGCGAGAUAGUUACUAUUCGGUCGGAUCCAAUUUCUGUGGAAGAACAAUCUGGUCUUUCUAUCUAAAUAGGUUUAGUGAGUGGAUGCUUUUUCAGAUUCUGGUCAUGUUCAUAUGUUCAAUCAAACUCUACUUUUAAGCAAUUUAUAGUGUUGAACUUAAUGAAAGAUCACUAUGCUCCUCAGCUUGCAGAAGUAAUUUACGACAGGAACAAGAAGACAAAAGACUCUCGCAUUAAUCUCAAGGUUUCAUGGCACGUGCGCACUAUGUAGUAGUAGUUAGGUUACUUGAAGCAACGUUUCUUGAGAUAUAAGUAAAUGUGUCAAUGACUCUCUUUCGUUUUAUGCUUUAUGUUCUUCGGUUUACAACAUUAAAUAUUGUCUAUCCACAUUCUUCCGAGUCUCUUUCUUA